UACAGAGGAGCCAAGCGUUGUCCGGAUUGACUGGGCGUAAAGCGCACGCAGGCGGGUGCGCGCGGGGGGGGUGAAAUCUGGCCGCUUAACGGCCAGGCGCCAUCCCAUACGGCGCGCCUGGAGGGCUGCAGAGGUCGAUGGAAUUGCCGGUGUAGUGGUGAAAUGCGUAGAGAUCAGGAAGAAUACCUGUGGCGCAAGCGCCCACCUGGCCGAGACCUGACGCUGAGGCACGAAAGCGUGGGGAGCGAACCGG
rnacentral:rRNA from 1 species